GUCCCACGGGCUGUAGUUUGCGCACUCCUGGUUAAGAGUGUCUGAGGCAUGAGGGUUUUUAGUGGGAGGGAGAGGAUCACAGUAUGGGGAUGAACAUACAGAAGGGGUGAAGACUAGUUCAACUCCUGUAGUUUUCAAAGCCAUUUAUCUGAGGGUUCUGAGGGAAGGUUGGUGUAUAUUUCUGAGUCUGAAUACUUCCCAUGCUGUCAGACAUCGCUUAGGGCACAAACAAGGCUCUUACCCUAGCAUGUUGUUUGAUAGAAUGGUUAUCUAGUUUUUCUGUAACUUGCCAUUUGUAUGUUGAGUUGGGUUUGUUGGCUUGAACCCACAUCCUCGAGGACAAAUGAACUGCUUUCUGUCUGCUCCCUACUUUUGACUUGUCUAGCUUAAAUGGCUCUACUUGGAACUAAAGUGCUUGCCGGGAUAGCUCGCAUGGUCAUUGGAACACACAAGCAUUCACAUGACAGCAAGGUGCAGUCCUUAGAGAAAGAUCCUUCUGGAAGAGCUAAAAUGGCUGUUUUAAUUAAUUGGCUGGAGGAGUUAAUUCACUGUGUGUGAGAUUAUUUCUUUGCUACUGGGUAGUAUCCAUCCAUCGUUUGUGGAUGCAAGUCUUAAUUAGGGCACCUAAAGCUUUUGUGGGGGUUUUUAAUUUAGUUCAAUUUAAAUAGCUGCUGUUACUAAAAUAUUAAGUUCUCUAAACAAAUUGUUCCUCACGCUCAACUCCCAUCAUUAUAAAAUAAUGAUUUCAGGAGACAAAUUUAGUUGAUGUCUGAGAGCAAUGUCAGGGAAUUGCAAGAAAGAGAAGAGAGUAGGGCUCGGUCAACAAGUGUCAUUACAAUCUUACUUUCACAAAAUUUCUCAUCUUUGUCAAAUAUUUUUCAAUGAAAGUCGUCUGUGCAGGUCUCAAAAAGUAGCACUUGGAAAGAUGGGAAAAGUCUAAACUGGAAGGGUGUGUGUGUGUGUGUGUGUGUGUGUGUGUGUUAGUUACACAGUACUGUAAAAUUACAGAAGAUUAGGAUUAAUACUAUCCCCAAGACCAAGAGUCUAUACAAUAUAAAAUCCCUUCAUCAAUGAAUGUGAUGAACAAUAUGAAGUUUGAUUUGGAUGAUCAUUCUAAUAUCAUUUGACCAGUUUGAACAAUUUUAUACUUCACAUAUUGGGGUUGUGAUUUUCAAAACAGUUCAGCAUUGCACUAACUAGGAGAAUUAAGGAUUUGGACUCUUACUCACAUUUGUGUAUAUGGCCAUUAAACAUCCAAAGCUAAUACGAGUAAGCUUUUCUUGUAAGUAAGCCAUGGUCACCUCUGAUUUUCUGCUAGAAAACACAAGUUUCUCAUAAAUUUAGUUACUUGAAUAGGAGUGAACAAAACUGACUUUUACUAAAUGCUCUUUCUGUGAGACAUGAGGAACAAGCAGCUUUUAUUUUGAACUUCAGUUCCUAACAAAUUUCUUGUAUGAUGUACUGUAAAUGUCCCUUUUUAUUUUGGCUUGAACAAAUAAAAGGAAGCUGUGAAUUUAACCCUCCACUUCACAGCAUACAGCAUCAGUAGAUGCUUUGAAAAGCGUUGAUAGCUGUGUGAAAGCAACAGGUAAAUUAAUCUUGUAACUCCAUUUUAGGUUACAAAUUCAGUAAUUAUAAGUAAGAAGAUGAAAUAUUUUAUAAAUGUGACUAUUUGUCUAGAACACGCUGAACGGAACUCGGACCAGAGCUUUCAAUUCACUUGAGAUAAAGAGCGUUUCUUUUUAAUUAUCAGUCCAAAUAGCAAGUGUUCAAGGCAAUAGCCUCCCUUCUGUUGCAACAUCCCAGCACAGUGAAACUUUCAUAUGUACAUGAGGGAUCCAAAACAGGCAGGAAUAAGAACAGGACAACAUAAAAUAGCUGAUUUAGGAGAUCUUCUUUUGAUGCAUUAUAUAGCUUUAUCAGCAAUGAAUUGAGAGGAAAAACAAACCAUUGUCAAGCUUUCAUAUAUCUGUAUUGGAUAUACUUCAAGUGGCAUAUUGUGUCUUGCAUAGUAUUGCAGACUCUCUCAAUUAUCCAUUGUGAUGCUACUGCUUUUCUUCUGGCUCCCAUCUUCGUUUAUAGUUUGAUUCUUACUGCAAACCUGUCAUUUUUUAAUAUCCCUUAAAAACACUUUUUAGGCAGACAAAUUCAGAUAGUGCAGUUAGACUUAAUGGGCCAGAUUCUGCCUGGCAUUGUGUCACCCUUUUGACUGUAGAACUUGACCUAGGGUAUGUAACAAUGCAUUCUGGAAGCUCUUUUGCAUAAGGAUCUGUCUGAUGGAGCUGGUUUUGGGAUAUCAAGUGGUUAACUAGAUGUUCUGUUCUGAAAUUAUUUGGCUUGAGUUUCAGGUCCUCUUUAAUGAUAGGCAGGGAAAAUAAUCCAUUCAUACAACUGCAAGUGAUAUUUGUUUCUAUGGUGAAACUGUUCUGAGGGAAGUGCAGAUACCAUCUAAUUGAGAAGAAAAUAUAAAACUGAUACUUUGACUUCCUAUUCCUAACUGCAACUUUGGCGGCAUGGUUUUUUUGGGGGGGGAGAGGGUGCGGGGGGGGGGGGAGGGAAGGGAGCAGCAGAAGCAAUGCCAGAGGAAACUAGUCCCUUAAUUUUGAAAAGGGAUUUUAACUGCUUGCUUUACUGUCCUGUGUUUCCUAAUAGCUACAGAGUGUCAAGAUCCUGGGUAAGAAAGUAGUGCAAGGCAAACUAAAUUCACAAGAAGGUUGGUCUUUGCUCCAGCACAGCUUGCAGUCAUUGCUAGUGCGUGUGAAUGUAGGACCAAGCAAUGUCAAAGUUAUUUUGAGAAGUGUAAAUGAUCAGCUUGCAAAGGGCAGCAGAGCGUAUAUUUGAUCAAUAAACCACAAUUCCUUCAUGGAAGCUGAUUUAACUGUAGCAAUUUCGGUCUCAUGUAUACAAUAGUUACUGGAUGACCUACAAUUCUGUAUUAAAGACGUAAUUUAGCACAGCAUGGAGUGGCAGUGUGGAUGACUAGCGCUGCAUGGAAGGUUACAUUCAAGGUUUGAGAACAGUUCAGUUUGUUUGCCUCUGAACUACUGAUAGAACUGUUUUAGUAGUCCUGUAAUGAGGGCUGCGUUAUCUUGAGUCUUUUUUUUUUUUUAAUUCAUCACAUAAACUGUACAAAUGAUCAAUUUGUAUCUGAAAUGAAUGAUCUGAAACCAGCCCUUAAUAUGCUUUCUGUAAGUUGUGUAUUAAAACAAAAUAUCCAAUUUGAGUAAAGUAUGGUUAUGGUAGUUUAAUAAUCUCUAGGUUGAAUCUUGGAUGAAAGUCUUGACAACCUUCGCUCUUUAGUUUAUGGAUGUGGCUUUGACUUGCCCUUUUGAUAAGUUGUUUUUAGACCACAUGCUCCACUCAAUGGUUGCUGCUGCUGCUCCUGGGUAAUUGUGCAUAUCUGAUGCCUGAUAGUGGAAUGAAAGGAAUAGGAUAUAGAGGUGCCCACAUGUAUCAGCUGUGACCUGCAGUCAUGGUUCUCUCUGUAACUACAGGGUGAGGGCACAGCUGAUCAUCUCCAGGCUGUUGUUAUUGGUGAGAUAAAACAAGCAGGUUUUCUCCAUCUAUUAAGGAGAAUAAAAGCAUGAGCAAAUAUUGGCUUUUUGUGCUCUUACACUUUUUAAUACAGGUUAUCUGAAAUUAGCCUUGCUUUACUAUAUAACAACACUCUUAGGGUGUAUGCACCAUCCUGGUGAAGCAGUUGAUGUUUGAGGCUUGGAUUCCUGGAUAACUUUUAGACACUUAGAGGUUGCACUUUACUGUGGGGCUGUGUUUGAGUUCUGCAGAGUAAUCAAAGUUGUUUUAAUAUGCCUCAGUCAGCCAAUGCUUAGACAAAGAGGCAUGGUGGCUCGGUAAUUUAUUAAUACUGUAUGUUGCCUGGUUAUUGGGAUGUUUUCUGUGUGACUCUAUUGAUUUAGUUCGAUAGGAGUCUGUCUGGAAAAACAGGCAGGAAGGAAAAGAAUGAAGAUAAGCCACCUCUCAACAAGCACUUGAGAAUUGCUAAGGGACAAUCCCAGAAUAGUUGGCUCCAGGACUCUGUCUUGAUUUCCAAUUGAGGCUACAGAAUUAAUUUGGACCACAAAUGUUGAAGCGUGGGAACACAGAAGAACAAGAGAUCUAUAGUGGGACUUAAAAGGGUCAGUCUCUCUCUCCCUCGAGCAGUAAUAGUACAGGGGAACUAGACUGAAACAUGGACCUGCUGAGGAGUCUGAAGAAGUUAGGCCUGGCUAGGUAACCAUCAGGUAAGAGAUAUGGAUGUGGACUGUUAAAAAUUCUUUAAAAGCUUUGUUCCUACUGAUGAAAUAAAGAAUUACUUUUGUUUUAAGAAGGCAGUUUGAUUACUAUAGACCACUGGUCAACCUCUCAAAGGGAAGACCCACAGGUGCCAGAACUCAUUUGGAAUUGCAAGAUAGGAACAAUUGAUACACAGGGUACUGUAGCUGAGGGCCCAGUUUAAGAGUGGGAAAAUUGUGAAAUUAUACCCAGAGGUAGAUAAAGGCACAAGACAUCAGACCUAAGGGGGUGUGCACAGUGGACAGUGGUGCAGCUAACUCUGACAUUUCACUCUCUGCUGCAACUGUCUGCAAAACAAGGAAGAGGAUUCAUAAAAAAGGGUGACCACAGAAGGAAGAGGUGACUCGACAAUUCAAAGGGUUCCUGCCAGAGAGAUUGCGAAUAGAACUGAUAUAUGCAGUAGCCAAUAAUGAUACUUGUCAUGAGUGAGCUUUGUAUUAAUUCAUGAUAAGAAAUGAAACUGACUUUCGAAAGGUGCUAUUCUACACUCUCUUGAUAAACCAAUUAAGAGAACUUCUGUACUAAGCACCGUUGUUUCUGCAUCCUCAAGAAGCUGUUAAAUGUGAGCCUUGGUACUUGACAACCUUCUUGAUUGUCUUCUGGUGUUAAUAGUUUCCAGUGGGUAACUUGUGUAAUACACUAAGGUUUUAUUUUACAAACAAGAUUUAUUUUACACCCUUUUAGGUGUAACUAUGGAUUGUAUUUUCUAAAUGGACAACCUACCUAAUUGUCCCUCAGUAACUGAGAAUCUCCACUCACUGAUAUAUUUUGCUUUCCACAGUCAAAUCUCCAAACAACUUUUUAUGAGUGAUGUACCUGAGUAUUCGAAUUCUAAUAUCUAAACUGUAUUGUUAAAUCUAUUCACCUAAAUUUGGGUUAUUGCUGAUUAUGUACUCUAUGUAUCAUAUGACUUUUAAGAGCUAACUUUUUAUUUGUGGAUAAGCUAAGCACUAUACCCAGAUGUACAAACCCUCCUUACCCAACCUAUGUAUUAUAUACUUUUUUAAAAUUUAGCUUUAAUAAAAUUUUUAAAUCUAACUUGUUGCAGAAAGGUUUCCAUUACUAUACUGCAUUUUACAAGAGAUCCUGUCCAAGUUCUUUAACUACACAUUGCAUCAGGAAGCUUUAUGAAAUACUUGACUGCAAAGUCAAAGUCAAGU